rnacentral:rRNA from 1 species
AGAGUUUGAUCCUGGCUCAGGAUGAACGCUGGCGGUAUGCCUAACACAUGCAAGUCGAACGAAGUUUUCCCUUCAGAGGGAACUUAGUGGCGGACGGGUGAGUAACACGUGAGAACCUACCUUUAGGACGGGGACAACAGUUGGAAACGACUGCUAAUACCCGAUGUGCCGAAAGGUGAAAGGAUUUAUUGCCUGAAGAUGGGCUCGCGUCUGAUUAGCUAGUUGGGAGUGUAAGAGACUACCAAGGCAACGAUCAGUAGCUGGUCUGAGAGGAUGAGCAGCCACACUGGGACUGAGACACGGCCCAGACUCCUACGGGAGGCAGCAGUGGGGAAUUUUCCGCAAUGGGCGAAAGCCUGACGGAGCAAUACCGCGUGAGGGAGGAAGGUCUUUGGAUUGUAAACCUCUUUUAUCAGGGAAGAAAAAAUGACGGUACCUGAUGAAUAAGCAUCGGCUAACUCCGUGCCAGCAGCCGCGGUAAUACGGAGGAUGCGAGCGUUAUCCGGAAUUAUUGGGCGUAAAGCGUCCGUAGGUGGUUUUGCAAGUCUGCCGUUAAAGAAUGGAGCUCAACUCCAUAGGGGCGGUGGAAACUGUGGGACUAGAGUACAGUAGGGGUAGCAGGAAUUCCCAGUGUAGCGGUGAAAUGCGUAGAUAUUGGGAAGAACAUCGGUGGCGAAAGCGUGCUACUGGGCUGAAACUGACACUGAGGGACGAAAGCUAGGGUAGCGAAAGGGAUUAGAUACCCCUGUAGUCCUAGCCGUAAACGAUGGAUACUAGGCGUGGCUUGUAUCGACCCGAGCCGUGCCGAAGCUAACGCGUUAAGUAUCCCGCCUGGGGAGUACGCUCGCAAGAGUGAAACUCAAAGGGAUUGACGGGGGCCCGCACAAGCGGUGGAGUAUGUGGUUUAAUUCGAUGCAACGCGAAGAACCUUACCAAGGCUUGACAUCCCUGGAAUCUCCUUGAAAGGGGAGAGUGCCUUAGGGAGCCAGGAGACAGGUGGUGCAUGGCUGUCGUCAGCUCGUGUCGUGAGAUGUUGGGUUAAGUCCCGCAACGAGCGCAACCCUCGUUUUUAGUUGCCAUCAUUAAGUUGGGCACUCUAGAGAGACUGCCGGUGACAAACCGGAGGAAGGUGGGGAUGACGUCAAGUCAUCAUGCCCCUUACGCCUUGGGCUACACACGUACUACAAUGGUCGGGACAACGGGCAGCUAAGCCGCGAGGCCAAGCGAAUCCCAACAAACCCGGCCUCAGUUCAGAUUGCAGGCUGCAACUCGCCUGCAUGAAGGAGGAAUCGCUAGUAAUCGCAGGUCAGAAUACUGCGGUGAAUUCGUUCCCGGGCCUUGUACACACCGCCCGUCACACCAUGGGAGCUGGUCACGCCCGAAGUCGUUACUCUAACCGUUCGCGGGGGGGGGCGCCGAAGGCAGGGCUAGUGACUGGGGUG